rnacentral:misc_RNA from 1 species
GAUGAAGAACGUAGCGAAAUGCGAUAAGUAAUGUGAAUUGCAGAAUUCAGUGAAUCAUCGAAUCUUUGAACGCACCUUGCGCCCGCCAGUAUUCUGGCGGGCAUGCCUGUUCGAGCGUCAUUUCAACCAUCAAGCCCUGCUUGUGUUGGGGUCCUGCGGCUGCCCGCAGGCCCUGAAAACCAGUGGCGGGCUCGCUAGUCACACCGAGCGCAGUAGCACAUCUCGCUCAGGGCGUGCGGCGGGUUCUUGCCGUAAAACACCCCCUUUUUACCAAGGUUGACCUCGGAUCAGGUAGGAAUACCCGCUGAACUUAAGCAUAUCAAUAAGCGGAGGA